rnacentral:rRNA from 1 species
UACGGGGGGGGCAAGCGUUGUUCGGAAUUACUGGGCGUAAAGGGCGCGUAGGCGGCCUGCUAAGUCGAACGUGAAAUCCCCGGGCUCAACCCGGGAACUGCGUCCGAUACUGGCAGGCUUGAAUUCGGGAGAGGGAUGCGGAAUUCCAGGUGUAGCGGUGAAAUGCGUAGAUAUCUGGAGGAACACCGGUGGCGAAGGCGGCAUCCUGGACCGACACUGACGCUGAGGAGCGAAAGCCAGGGGAGCAAACGGG